CGAGUAACACGUAUGCAACCUGCCUGCCACAGCCGGAUAAUCGGGAGAAAUUCCGUCUAAUACGGCAUAAUGCAUCGACGGGACAUCCUGUUGGUGCCAAAGGUUGAUUCCGGUGGCGGAUGGGCAUGCGUCGCAUUAGUUAGUUGGCGGUGUAACGGACCACCAAGACGACGAUGCGUAGGGGUUCUGAGAGGAAGGUCCCCCACACUGGUACUGAGACACGGACCAGACUCCUACGGGAGGCAGCAG
rnacentral:rRNA from 1 species